UCCAUGGGAAAAGAUGAAAUGAGAGUGUCAUAUUAAGUGAGACAAAGCCAAAUCAGCCAGUCAAAGGCCAAGUUUUUGAAUGAAAGGUUAAGAAGAUAAGCAGGCAGAAAGUGGAUUAAAAGAGUGAUGAUAGUAGGGACAGGGAAAUGUGCCGUAAUUCUGAGUUCUACAGCUACUAAGAUUAGAAUGCAAAGGCGAUAACAGGCCAUGACUUUUUUGCAAAUGUUGAACAUCUGCAAUCUGGAUUAAUUUUGGAUCAUACACCAUAUCAGAAUGUGGUCUUUCAGGGCUCUUAUUUAUCCCAAUCACAAUUUUCAAAGCUUAUCUAGAAUCCUGGAUUAACUACCUGGAUGUUACCUGAACAGGAAUACUUUCAAUGUCGCAGGAAGUUGCCAGGACCAACACUGAAGUCUGUUCCUCUCCCACUGCUGCCCAUCCCUUCUCAGCUCACAGAAGAUCACAGCUUAGACCGAGCAGAGCUGAGUGGAGCUGAAAGGAGCUGAGCCCAGAGGAGCAGAGUGGUUGCAAUGAGGAUAAUCUGUUUUUCUGGGGAGGUGUUCUUCGUUGUUUUUGUUGUCUCAGGCUCAGGGAAUGCCAACUGCAGAGAGCACUCACCAUCUUGUCUUUGUCUUGGGAAUAACUGCAUGGCACUGGCGAGGUACGGGAAUGGCUGCUAUCUUGGUUUUUGUCUUGUCAGCCAUGCAGAACUGAGUCAAGGUGGUGAACACCUUUUUGUCUGUAAAUCAUCAUCUCUUUUGUUAUUAAUAUUGUUGCUUCUACUGGGCAUUUCUUAUUCCAUUUCUGUUUGUUUUCAAUAAAUUAUCGUCUCAAGC